UACGUAGGGGGCUAGCGUUGUCCGGAAUCGUUGGGCGUAAAGAGCGUGUAGGCGGCCCGGUAAGUCCGCUGUAAAAGUCAAAGGCUCAACCUUUAAAUGUCAGUGGAUACUGUCGGGCUCGAGUCCGGAAGAGGCGAGUGGAAUUCCUGGUGUAGCGGUGAAAUGCGCAGAUAUCAGGAGGAACACCAAUGGCGAAGGCAGCUCGCUGGGACGUGACUGACGCUGAGACGCGAAAGCGUGGGGAGCAAACAGG
rnacentral:rRNA from 1 species